rnacentral:rRNA from 15 species
UCCGUGCCAGCAGCCGCGGUAAGACGGAGGAUGCAAGUGUUAUCCGGAAUCACUGGGCGUAAAGCGUCUGUAGGUGGUUUGAUAAGUCCAUUGUUAAAUCUUGAGGCUUAACCUCAAAACAGCAAUAGAAACUAUUAGACUUGAGUGUAGUAGAGGUAAAAGGAAUUUCCAGUGGAGCGGUGAAAUGCGUAGAGAUUGGAAGGAACAUCAGUGGCGAAGGCGGCCACCUGGACUGAUACUGACGCUGAGGUGCGAAAGCGUGGGGAGCAAACAGGAUUAGAUACCCUGGUAGUCCACGCUGUAAACGAUGAGAACUUGAUGUUGGGAUGCUUAGCAUUUCAGUGUCGAAGCUAACGCGAUAAGUUCUCCGCCUGGGGAGUACGGCCGCAAGGUUAAAACUCAAAUGAAUUGACGGGGGCCCGCACAAGCGGUGGAGCAUGUGGUUUAAUUCGAUUCAACGCGAAGAACCUUACCAGGACUUUUAUCUAUUUAAUUUUAAGAAAUUAAAAUUUAGUGAAGUAGAAAUAGGUGGUGCAUGGCUGUCGCCAGCUCGUGUCGUGAGAUGUUGGGUUAAUUCCCUUAACGAGCGCAACCCUUGUUUGGUCAGUUGUUAUGGAUUUCUGAGAAGACUGCCGAUGAGAAAUCGGAGGAAGGUAAGGAUGACGUCAAGUCAGUAUGCCCCGUAUGUCCUGGGCUACACACGUGCUACAAUGGUUAAGACAAAGAGCCGCUUACUUGUAAAAGAUGAAGAAGCCAAAGUAAGUAAAAUUAUUUUAGUAAGAGCAAAUCUCCAAACUUAAUCGAAGUUCGGAUUGUAGGCUGCAACUCGCCUACAUGAAGUUGGAAUCGCUAGUAAUCGCUGGUCAGCAGUACAGCGGUGAAUUCGUCCCUGGGCCUUGUACACACCGCCCGUCACACCAUGGAAGUUGGUCAGGCUGGAAACUAAUAUUAAAUUAGUAGUUAAAGUGGGGCGAGCGACUGGGGUGAAGUCGAAACAAGGUAGCCGUACUGGAAGGUGCGGCUGGAUCAUCUA